AGUUUGAUUGUUGCCGACAAGUUAUAUAAUGCCAGGAAUUAGAGCCGAGCAUGCAAAUGUGAAAUCCUCCCCUGGUUCUCCUGAGGAGCACAUGAGACGGACUCUAUCUGCAGGCUUCACUUCAGCUCCCCCGAGCUUUGUGCGACAGAGGCGCUCUUUCCUUUCUCCACGCCGACUCGGGUGAUAAUCCUGACACGCACUGUCUGCAUUUUCUUACUGUACGUCUUUAAGCGCAUUUGCCGAGCAUUUAUCUCUCCAAUGUAAACCAAUUUGCCUAUAAGGGCUCGGGGCCAAUCGUGGCGCCGCAAGUGGGGAAGAAUGGAAAACCCAAACGUAGCAGAUGUGCGCAGAGGGCGAGAUGGGGGAGCUUGGCAACGAUGCGGGCUUUGACGAACACGUGAAUGUAAAAAAGGAAAAAAGGGGGGGUGGUAAAGCGGAACCGAGUGGAAGAAAGAGUGUCCCUUGUCCGAAGGCGCUGCCGCCGCCAGUGGAGGACCGGCUGAUGAAAUGGAGUCAAGAGAGAAAGCUGGCGCAGUUAAGAGGUUGAAAUUGUCAUUGGAAUCUUCUAAAUCAGGUACUGGUAUUGGUCAACUGGUACUGGUCAGUGGGCCGGAGAUUCAAAGAAUAUUUUAUUAAUCAUCAGAGUUGGAGAGCUGUUGUAUUUUUAUUUUUGGGGACAGUUGGGG